AUUGAACUCUGGCGGCAGGCCUAACACAUGCAAGUCGAGCGAGCGGCGGACGGGUGAGUAAUGUCUGGGGAUCUGCCCGAUCGAGGGGGAUAACUACUGGAAACGGUGGCUAAUACCGCAUACUAUCGGAUGAACCACUAUUGGAUUAGCUAGUAGGUGGGGUAAAGGCUAACUGAGGCGACGAUCUCUAGCUGGUCUGAGAGGAUGAUGAGCAAAACUGGAACUGAGACACGGCCCAGAUUCCGACGGGAGGCAGCAGUGGGGAAUAUUGCCCAAGGGGCGCAAGCCUGAUAGAGCAAUGACGCGUGUAUGAAGAAGGCCGGAGGGUUGUAAAGUACUUUCAGCGGGGAGGAGUUACCCGCAGAAGAAGCACCGGCUAACUCAGUGCCAGCAGCCGCGGUAAUUG
rnacentral:rRNA from 1 species